GGCAAUCUGGCCAUUUGCAUUGUCUACAAAAUUACAAGGUUAAUUACAGCCACCAAAAGUAGAAGCCUAACACCGACAUAAUUGACAAGAAGAUUAUGGAGCGCUCCUGUUCUUCUUCAACCGCGGCAACUGUGGCAAUCUUGGCUCUGAUGUUCAUAUAUUGCUCCUUGCCAUGCUCGGUGGCCGUGCAAGAUCUUCCAGAAGGAGAUCGUCCAGGAGUGGGUCCACCGGCGCCGAUCCCUGGGUCAGGGCGCCACAGGUGCCCCGGCUGCGACCGCCCCACCACUCCGCCGCCACCGCCGCACCGGAAGACCCUGCUGGUUGGUACAGCAAACACCCCGUAAAAUUACCAAUGGUCAAGUACGCAUGCCGUUGAAGCUGUGGGCAGGAGCGGUCAAUAAACCAUGUCCUGAGUUUGGGCAUGCAAGCUGAUCAAAGUGAGAUCAUUGGAGGCCUUUCAUUUUGAAAAUCACUGAGCGGUCGAUGCUAUAGCCUAGCCAGCUUCUGCCUCCUGUCUUGUCGUAUGAUGGAUGACCGUGCUAUAUAUGUACUAUUAUGUGUAAUUAUUAGUUGUUCCACGGCACCUUAAAAGGAAUAAAAAAUACUUUCUGA